UGUGGUUGUGGUUGUGGUUGGUGUUGGUGUUUGUGGCCCAGGAACCUCCUUUUCUCCUGCCCUGUGACCACUGAUGUAUCUUCAUGACCCAUCUCAGAGGUGCAAUUCCAGUCCCUGAUUGUUCUAUAUUUUGGUAUACUUAUACCAAAAUCACGUCUCUGCUUCAUCAGUAACAUUCCUGUGUGCCUUAUAUCUCUCUUGUCCAAUUAAUCAAUCAAGGUUUAAAUAGUAUUUCCUGGGGUGCAAUUCCCUAGGUGGCGUUGUUGGCUUUCAUUCAAUCCCCCCCCUUUUCUGGUCCGCCACCCCACAGUUAUAACUGUUAUUUUACUGUCAGAAUUCUUUAAUAAAUUUUUUUAAAUGUA